rnacentral:rRNA from 1 species
CUAAGGUAGCGAAAUUCCUUGUCGGGUAAGUUCCGACCCGCACGAAUAGCGUAACGACAGCCAUACUGUCUCCACGAAGGACUCGGCGAAAUUGUGGUCGUGGUGAAGACGCCACGUUCCCGCACCAAGACGGAAAGACCCCGUGAACCUUUACUAUAACCUAAUACUGGCUCUAGGUUUGUCAUGUGUAGAAUAGGUGGGAGACGUUGAUGCCGGCGGCGCCAGCCGUCGGAUAGUCGCAAUGUGAAAUACCACUCUUGGCAUAUUUGGAGUCUAACCUGUGACCGUUAUCCGGCAUGGGAACAGUGUUAGGCGGGUAGUUUGACUGGGGCGGUCUCCUCCUAAAGAGUAGCGGAGGAGUGCAAAGGUACACUCAGAGCGGUUGGUAAUCGCUUGUAGAGCGUAAAGGUAUAAGUGUGCUUAACUGCGAGACACAUAGGUCGAGCAGGUACGAAAGUAGGUCUUAGUGAUCCGGUGGUCCCGUGUGGAAGGGCCAUCGCUCAUCAGAUAAAAGGUACUCCGGGGAUAACAGGCUGAUCACGCCCAAGAGUCCAUAUCGACGGCGUGGUUUGGCACCUCGAUGUCGGCUCAUCGCAUCCUGGGGCUGAAGGCGGUCCCAAGGGUUGGUCUGUUCGCCCAUUAAAGCGGUACGUGAGCUGGGUUUAGACCGUCGUGAGACAGGUCGGUCCCUAUCUGGUGUGGGCGUAGGAUGAUUGAGGAGAUUCUUUUCUAGUACGAGAGGAUUGAAAAGAACGUACCUCUGGUGUGCCAGUUGUCGCGCUAGCGGCAUCGCUGGGUAGCUAAGUACGGACCGGAUAAGCGCUGAAAGCAUCUAAGCGCGAAGCCAACUCCAAGACUGGUCAUCCCUGAGACACCUGGUAGACCACCAGGUUGAUAGGCCGGGAGUGUAAGGGCAGUAAUGUCUUCAGCUGACCGGUACUAACCAGUCGAUCGGCUUGAUCUC